rnacentral:rRNA from 1 species
UACGGAGGGUGCGAGCGUUGUCCGGAAUGACUGGGCGUAAAGGGCGCGUAGGCGGCUUGCACAGUCAGGCGUGAAAUUCCUGGGCUCAACCUGGGGACUGCGCUUGAGACGUGUGGGCUUGAGUGGGGAAGAGGGUCGUGGAAUUCCCAGUGUAGAGGUGAAAUUCGUGAGAUAUUGGGAAGAACACCGGUGGCGAAGGCGGCGACCUGGUCCUUGACUGACGCUGAGGCGCGAAGCGUGGGGAGCAAACAGG